GAUGGUUGCCCCGAAGAGUAAAUUGGAAUCCGGUGAAAGUCCGGAACAGUACCUGCUGCUGUAAGUCUCCAAGAAGAAAAGACGUUUGCCGUAAUCGACAUCGCCACUGGUUGACCUCAAAGACUGGGAAGGUAUCGGCAAAACAGAGACAAGUCAGAAAACCAGCCAUUGAAAC
rnacentral:ncRNA from 1 species